CAUCACCAUCAUCAUCAUCAGUGUCAUCCUCGUCAUCGCUGUCAUUUCUGUGCCACUUGUGCUCAGGGCCAUCAGGGACAGAAGGUCACGUGGAGAACUCGCCUUUCCUGGGGUAUUGCUGCCUGUCCCCACCCUGGAGGGGACAGGAAAGUGGACAGAAAGGAACAAGAGUCGAGGACCAGCUACGGGGUC